rnacentral:rRNA from 1 species
UGCGUAGGCGGGCUAAUAAGUCAGUGGUGAAAUCUCUCGGCUCAACCGGGAAACUGCCAUUGAUACUGUUAGUCUUGAGUUCGGUUGAGGUAGGCGGAAUGUGUAAUGUAGCGGUGAAAUGCUUAGAUAUUACACAGAACACCAAUUGCGUAGGCAGCUUACGAGACCGACACUGACGCUGAGGCACGAAAGCGUGGGGAGCGAACAGGAUUAGAUACCCUGGUAGUCC